AGCAUAUCAAUAAGCGGAGGAAAAGAAACUAACAAGGAUUCCCCUAGUAACUGCGAGUGAAGCGGGAAAAGCUCAAAUUUAAAAUCUGGCGGUCUUCCGGCCGUCCGAGUUGUAAUCUGGAGAAGUGCUUUCCGCGCUGGACCGUGUACAAGUCUCUUGGAACAGAGCGUCGUAGAGGGUGAGAAUCCCGUCUUUGACACGGACUACCAGUGCUUUGUGAUGCGCUCUCGAAGAGUCGAGUUGUUUGGGAAUGCAGCUCAAAAUGGGUGGUAAAUUCCAUCUAAAGCUAAAUAUUGGCGAGAGACCGAUAGCGAACAAGUACCGUGAGGGAAAGAUGAAAAGAACUUUGGAAAGAGAGUUAAACAGUACGUGAAAUUGCUGAAAGGGAAACGCUUGAAGUCAGUCGCGUCGUCCGGGACUCAGCCUUGCUUUUGCUUGGUUUAUUUUCUGGUCGACGGGUCAGCAUCAGUUUCGAUCGUCGGAAAAUGGCUGAGGGAAUGUGGCAUCUUCGGGUGUGUUAUAGCCCUCAGUCGCAUGCGAUGGUUGGGACUGAGGAUCACAGCGCGCCUUUAUGGUCGGGGUUYGCCCACGUUUGCGCUUAGGAUGCUGGCAUAAUGGCUUUAAACGACCCGUCUUGAAACACGGACCAAGGAGUCUAACAUGCAUGCGAGUGUUUGGGUGGAAAACCCGAGCGCGCAAUGAAAGUGAAAGUUGAGACCUCUGUCGUGGAGGGCAUCGACGCCCGGACCUGACCUUYUGUGACGGCCCUGCGGUAGAGCAUGUAUGUUGGGACCCGAAAGAUGGUGAACUAUGCCUGAAUAGGGUGAAGCCAGAGGAAACUCUGGUGGAGGCUCGUAGCGAUUCUGACGUGCAAAUCGAUCGUCAAAUUUGGGUAUAGGGGCGAAAGACUAAUCGAACCAUCUAGUAGCUGGU
rnacentral:rRNA from 1 species